rnacentral:rRNA from 1 species
UGGGGAAUAUUGGACAAUGGGCGAAAGCCUGAUCCAGCCAUGCCGCGUGAGUGAUGAAGGCCCUAGGGUUGUAAAGCUCUUUCAACGGUGAAGAUAAUGACGGUAACCGUAGAAGAAGCCCCGGCUAACUUCGUGCCAGCAGCCGCGGUAAUACGAAGGGGGCUAGCGUUGUUCGGAAUUACUGGGCGUAAAGCGCACGUAGGCGGACAUUUAAGUCAGGGGUGAAAUCCCGGGGCUCAACCCCGGAACUGCCUUUGAUACUGGGUGUCUAGAGUCCGGAAGAGGUGAGGGGAAUUCCGGGUGUAGAGGUGAAAUUCGUAGAUAUUCGGAGGAACACCAGUGGCGAAGGCGGCUCACUGGUCCGGUACUGACGCUGAGGUGCGAAAGCGUGGGGAGCAAACA